UACAGAGGUCCCAAGCGUUGUUCGGAUUCACUGGGCGUAAAGGGUGCGUAGGUGGUUGUGCAAGUCUGAUGUGAAAUCUCCGGGCUUAACCCGGAAAUGGCAUUGGAAACUGCACAGCUAGAGGUUUGGAGGGGGGACUGGAAUUCUCGGUGUAGCAGUGAAAUGCGUAGAUAUCGAGAGGAACACCGGUGGUGUAGACGGCUUUCUGGACCGUAACUGACGCUGAAACACGAAAGCGUGGGUAGCAAACAGG
rnacentral:rRNA from 1 species